UACGUAGGUGGCAAGCGUUGUCCGGAUUUACUGGGUGUAAAGGGCGUGUAGCCGGGUUGACAAGUCAGAUGUGAAACCCUGCGGCUUAACCGCAGAACCGCAUUUGAAACUGUUGAUCUUGAGUACUGGAGAGGCAGACGGAAUUCCUAGUGUAGCGGUGAAAUGCGUAGAUAUUAGGAGGAACACCAGUGGCGAAGGCGGUCUGCUGGACAGCAACUGACGGUGAGGCGCGAAAGCGUGGGGAGCAAACAGG
rnacentral:rRNA from 1 species